rnacentral:rRNA from 1 species
CCUACGGGAUGCAGCAGUGGGGAAUAUUGCACAAUGGGCGCAAGCCUGAUGCAGCCAUGCCGCGUGUAUGAAGAAGGCCUUCGGGUUGUAAAGUACUUUCGGCGAGGAGGAAGGCAUUAAGGUUAAUAACCUUAGUGAUUGACGUUACUCGCAGAAGAAGCACCGGCUAACUCCGUGCCAGCAGCCGCGGUAAUACGGAGGGUGCAAGCGUUAAUCGGAAUUACUGGGCGUAAAGCGCACGCAGGCGGUCUGUCAAGUCGGAUGUGAAAUCCCCGGGCUCAACCUGGGAACUGCAUUCGAAACUGGCAGGCUAGAGUCUUGUAGAGGGGGGUAGAAUUCCAGGUGUAGCGGUGAAAUGCGUAGAGAUCUGGAGGAAUACCGGUGGCGAAGGCGGCCCCCUGGACAAAGACUGACGCUCGGGUGCGAAGGCGUGGGGAGCAAACAGGAUUAGAUACCCCGGUAGUC